AAGACGUGGGAGCGCUGCCGCCUUGCGUGGGCGGGCAGUGUUCGUGGUUUGAGCUGCGAGUGUGACUGUUGGGGGCGCUUUCCUGGCAGGGGCGCUGUUUGGAAGCGUGCUCUGCAUUCGCACUGCCUGUUGGGCCCACCAUGAGGCGCCUAGGUUCGGUGCAGCGGAAAAUGCCGUGUGUGUUUGUGACGGAGGUGAAAGAGGAGCCCUCCAGCAAAAGGGAGCAUCAGCCAUUUAAAGUUUUGGCAACUGAAACUCUAAGUCACCAGGCAUUAGAUGCAGAUAUAUACAGUGCAAUUCCGACAGAAAAAGUGGAUGGAACAUGUUGUUAUAUUACUACCUACAAAGGUCAGCCAUACCUUUGGGCUCGGCUAGAUAGAAAACCUAACAAAUUAGCUGAGAAAAGGUUUAAAAAUUUUCUACAUUCAAAACAAAACUCAAAAGAAUUUUUUUGGAAUGUUGAGGAGGACUUCAAACCUGUUCCAGAGUGCUGGAUACCAGCAAAGGAAACAGAACAAUUAAAUGGGAAUCCAAUGCCUGAUGAAAAUGGACACAUUCCUGGCUGGGUACCAGUGGAGAAAAACAACAAGCAGUAUUGCUGGCAUUCCUCUGUAGUUAAUUACGAAUUCGAAGUUGCCCUGGUACUGAAGCAUCAUCCUGAUGAUCCUGGGCUUCUGGAAAUUAGUGCAGUGCCACUCUCAGACCUCCUAGAACAAACACUAGAGCUUAUAGGAACAAAUAUUAAUGGAAACCCAUAUGGGUUAGGAAGCAAGAAGCAUCCAUUACAUCUUCUUAUACCACAUGGGGCAUUUCAAAUCAGAAAUCUACCUACCUUGAAGCACCAUGAUCUAUUAUCCUGGUUUGAAGGUUGCAGAGAGGGUAAAAUUGAAGGAAUAGUAUGGCAUUGCAACGAUGGCUGUUUAAUCAAGGUGCUGGAAAUACAGAAUCAACAAAACUGUGUCUCUGCCUUCAUGAAGCUCACAUUCUAAUGGGGAAGAUAGACAAUAACAAGUAAAUAUGUAAUAUGUCAGGAGGAGAACAGCUAUGAAAAAACAAAGGGUUCAUCGCCAUCAUCUUGGUUUAUGCUGGCCAAUUCCAGAUACUUAUAUGAAUUCAAAACCAGUUAUUAUCAACAUGAACCUGAACAAGUAUGACCAUGCCUUUGAUACUAAGUGUUUGUUUAGUCGUCUUUCAAA